GAUGAACGCUGGCGGCGUGCCUAAUACAUGCAAGUCGAGCGAAUGGAUUAAGAGCUUGCUCUUAUGAAGUUAGCGGCGGGCGGGUGAGUAACACGUGGGUAACCUGCCCAUAAGACUGGGAUAACUCCGGGAAACCGGGGCUAAUACCGGAUAACAUUUUGAACCGCAUGGUUCGAAAUUGAAAGGCGGCUUCGGCUGUCACUUAUGGAUGGACCCGCGUCGCAUUAGCUAGUUGGUGAGGUAACGGCUCACCAAGGCAACGAUGCGUGGCCGACCGGAGGGGGUGAUCGGCCACACUGGGACUGAGACACGGCCCAGACUCCUACGGGAGGCAGCAGUAGGGAAUCUUCCGCAAUGGACGAAAGUCUGACGGAGCAACGCCGCGUGAGUGAUGAAGGAUUUCGGGUCGUAAAACUCUGUUGUUAGGGAAGAACAAGUGCUAGUUGAAUAAGCUGGCACCUUGACGGUACCUAACCAGAAAGCCACGGCUAACUACGUGCCAGCCGCCGCCGCGG
rnacentral:rRNA from 1 species